AUUGAACGCUGGCGGCAUGCCUUACACAUGCAAGUCGAACGGUAACGGGCCUUCGGGUGCCGACGAGUGGCGAACGGGUGAGUAAUGCAUCGGAACGUACCUUUCAGUGGGGGAUAACGUAGCGAAAGUUACGCUAAUACCGCAUAUUCUGUGAGCAGGAAAGCAGGGGAUCGCAAGACCUUGCGCUGAUUGAGCGGCCGAUGUCAGAUUAGCUAGUUGGCAGGGUAAUGGCCUACCAAGGCUGCGAUGGUUAGCUGGUCUGAGAGGAUGGCCAGCCACACUGGAACUGAGACACGGUCCAGACUCCUACGGGAGGCAGCAGUGAGGAAUCUUGCGCAAUGGGGGAAACCCUGACGCAGCAACGCCGCGUGAGUGAGGAAGGCCUUCGGGUCGUAAAGCUCUGUCAGAUGGGAAGAAAUGGGGUGGGGGCUAAUAUCGCCCAUCCUUGACGGUACCAUCAGAGGAAGCACCGGCUAACUCCG
rnacentral:rRNA from 1 species